GGAAACAUUGGAAGCUGGUCUGGGACAGCUAUAGUGCAGUCGAGCGAAUUCUUUAGAGCUUGCUUUAAAGAAGUUAGCGGCGGACGGGUGAGUAACACGUGGGCAACCUGCCUGUAAGACUGGAAUAACUUCGGGAAACCGGAGCUAAUACCGGAUAAUAUAUAGUACCUCCUGGUACUAUAUUGAAAAAUGGCUCCUAGCUAUCAUUAGAGAGGGGCCCGCGGCGCAUUAGCUAGUUGGUGAGGUAACGGCUCACCAAGGCAACGAUGCGUACCCGACCUGAGAGGGUGAUCGGCCACACGGGGACUGAGACACGGCCCAGACUCCUACGGGAGGCACCAGUAGGGAACCUUCCACAAUGGACGAAAGUCUGAUGGAGAACCGCCGCGUGAGCGAUGAAGGCCUUCGGGCCGUAAGGUUGGUUGUUUGGGAAAAAACAAGUGCGAGAUUACCUGCUCCGCCCCUGGGGGGGGAGUUAACCAAAAGCCCCGGCUUAAUUACGUGGGACAGGCGGGGGUAAAAAUUAAGGGGGAAAGCUUUGUCGGGAAAUUUUG
rnacentral:rRNA from 1 species